UACGUAGGGUGCAAGCGUUGUCCGGAAUUAUUGGGCGUAAAGGGCUCGUAGGCGGUCUGUCACGUCGGGAGUGAAAACUCGGGGCUCAACCCCGAGCCUGCUUCCGAUACGGGCAGACUAGAGGUAUGCAGGGGAGAAUGGAAUUCCUGGUGUAGCGGUGAAAUGCGCAGAUAUCAGGAGGAACACCGGUGGCGAAGGCGGGUCUCUGGGCCGAUACUGACGCUGAGGAGCGAAAGCGUGGGGAGCGAACAGG
rnacentral:rRNA from 1 species